rnacentral:rRNA from 1 species
GAUGAACGCUGGCGGCGUGCCUAACCCAUGCAAGUCGAACGGUGAAAGCGGAGCUUGCUCUGCUGGAUCAGUGGCGAACGGGUGAGUAACACGUGAGCAAUCUGCCCCUGACUCUGGGAUAAGCGCUGGAAACGGCGUCUAAUACCGGAAACGAGCAGCGCAGGCAUCUUCAGCAGCUGGAAAGAACUUCGGUCAGGGAUGAGCUCGCGGCCUAUCAGCUAGUUGGUGAGGUAACGGCUCACCAAGGCGUCGACGGGUAGCCGGCCUGGGAGGGGGACAGGCAACGCUGGACCUGGGACACGGCCCAGACUCCUACGGGAGGCAUGAGUGGAGUAUAUUGCACAAUGGGAGAAAGCCUGAUACAGCAACGCCGCGUGCGGGACGACGGCCUUCGGGUUGUAAACCUCUUUUAGCAGGGAAGAAGCGAAAGUGACGGUACCUGCAGAAAAAGCGCCGGCUAACUACGUGCCAGCCGCCGCGGUAA